UGUUUCCUCACUUUACAUGUGUAUCAAUGCUAGAUCAGUGUUCCCAUACUGAAAUUGUUGGCUACUCGAUGUGAAGUAAAAUUGUGCUUCUUGGAGGAGAACAAGAACUAAUCGCAGGAGAAGGGGUCGGGGAAUCAAUAGCUUUCACAGAAAGACAACCGUAGUUACCUCUGCCUUUCUUAAGAGCUGGCUGAUUUGAAUAAAAAGAGUAACAUUCGCGAUUGUAGCAUUCUGCAAUCUCAGGUCAGGACAAUCUGCUUCAAGACGCAUAUUUGGUCUCCCAAACACGCUUGUCCUCAGAGUAACAAUAGGGACCCAUCAGAGAAUAGGAGAUAUAAAGACUAUGCAGCUGCAUAGAAGACAACCUCAGUUAUUUGGAUUAGAACAACAAUUUACAAAUUAUUAGUUGGCCUUGAUGGAAUCCGUUGAUCUUAUAUCAGAGAAAAAAGGUCAGGUUAGAAUCCAUGCUAGCGAAUGGAUGGAGACCAUCAAUAUAGCCGCCAGUGUCAUGCUAAAAGCCAUGAUGGAGAAACUAUAGCUUCCAUGCCCCAAGUGCUAGAGCCGAGCCAUUGGAGAAGGUCAAUUUGUGACCAAAGCUA